rnacentral:rRNA from 1 species
UAGAGUUUGAUCCUGGCUCAGGACGAACGCUGGCGGCGUGCUUAACACAUGCAAGUCGAACGAUGAACCUGGAGCUUGCUCUAGGGAAUUAGUGGCGAACGGGUGAGUAACACGUGAGUAACCUGCCCUUGACUCUGGGAUAACCUCCGGAAACGGAAGCUAAUACCGGAUAUGACGCACGGAGGCAUCUCCUGUGCGUGGAAAGAACUUCGGUCAAGGAUGGACUCGCGGCCUAUCAGGUAGUUGGUGAGGUAACGGCCCACCAAGCCUACGACGGGUAGCCGGCCUGAGAGGGUGACCGGCCACACUGGGACUGAGACACGGCCCAGACUCCUACGGGAGGCAGCAGUGGGGAAUAUUGCACAAUGGGCGCAAGCCUGAUGCAGCAACGCCGCGUGAGGGACGACGGCCUUCGGGUUGUAAACCUCUUUUAGUAGGGAAGAAGCGAAAGUGACGGUACCUGCAGAAAAAGCACCGGCUAACUACGUGCCAGCAGCCCCGGUCAA